AAGGCGGUAGCAAUGCUGCGAGAGGAGACACCGCAAAGACUUUAUCCGGAUCUUGGGCGGCGGCGGCGCUGCUGGAUUGGCGGGGUCACCCUUCUGCAAGUAACGGAGCAGCUGGAAAAGGAGAGACCUGGGCCUCAGAUGUGGUAGUCAGACAAUGCUGAAGAUUAUGAUAAAGGAAAGUAUUUGGGAAAUGUUUAAAUUGUUUUUGUUAGCUCUUGGUAGUAGGGGUUUUGUUAUGCAUUUUGCUAACCUGGUGAACUGUGUCUGCUUUGGGGGAAAUGGGAUUUCAGUUUGAAAUAAUGGUGGAUUAACCUCUUACCCUGCCUAUAGACCUGUAUUACCUUAGUUAUUGUACAGUUAACUUCUCUCUAUCCCUUGCAGAUAAUGUGUUUGUUAAUCCCUCUUGUAUAAUAGUUACUGGAUAUUUCUUCUUAUGCUAAUUCUUUGAUCUGGUGAAACACAGCAACCAACAUAUAAUAGUUGGAACCAGUUACUCUUUACUUUGCAGAGUAUCAGACAAAUGCCUUAAAAAUUUACUAAGGUACUUAAAGGUUGCUUGUUUAGUUGCAACCAAAGCCGAGUAUGCUUAUACACAUACAGUAGAAAAUGUACAUACCUAAGCAUCUUCUGAAGUAGAGCUGUUGAAUUAAAUAUGAUUGGACCAGUUAUAAAAAGGGUCAAAUAAAAGAAAAUGGACAUGUACAAAAGGACUAUUUUAACUUGAUUCAUUUAAUAUUAGCAUUUCAAGAAAUAAACCCUGAGCGUUUCAGAAGAAAAUUUAUAUAAGAGUCAACUUACUUUGGUUUGAGGCAUUGCUUUCAGUUCCAGAGAUCUGAUGGUAUAUUGCAGAAUGUUGUGCUUGGUGUGAAAUCUGUUUAUUUAUAAACUUUGCUUCACAUUGAAGGGAAACAAAACUCAGUAUCAUUAAUUCAGUAACCAAGGCCAGCAGUUUAUUUCUUCUGUUGCAGAAGAAACAAACUUUAUUUGGCUCCAUCUAACUGACCCAAGAUGAGUAACUGAAAAAAAUCGAGUAUAACAGUUACUGAUGCCUUAUCCUUUGUGCCUUGAAUAGGGAAAAACAUCUCCAGUAGCAGGAUUGAAUGCGGGCACUGAGUGUUUCAACUAGAAUCAAUGAGCUGGAUUCAGACUACAUUUUCUGCUGAUGGAAGGAAUUUGUCAGCAAAAUGGAGCUGUUCUUCCCCCUUCAGCUCACUGAUCUCCCCAAAAUACUGCUCCUGAGGUGGCAGGGCACCAUCAGGUAAAUCAGAAGGACUAAUUAAUGCAAAUCUCCCCCUUUCAUUUAAUGGAAUACUUAGAUGAGAUCCAACCCAUUAUGUAAGGUGAUAACCAUUUAGCAGUCUAAGUUAAAUGAAGGGCGUUUAUAAUACUGCCUUUGUGCUUAAGAAAUCAAUCACAAGAGGUGAAAUGCCUACUAUCCAAGAUGAACAUGUGUUUCUGAUAAUUGGUUUUUCUGUUUUGAUGUAAAGUUGAUCUUUCACUGCAGCUGUUUUUGAAGAAUUGCAGAAGAAGUGGUGAGUUCCUAGGAAGAGGUAGUAGGUUGCAUAGUUUUAGGGCAGUGGUUUUGCCCAGAAGGAGUUAACUAUACAACCUGCUGCCUUUCUUAGGGCUUUAAAAUUACAACAGGAUCAUAUUGGCUCAGUCUAACCUUCCUUCAUUAGAGUAUGGUAUGCAGAACUUAAUAUUGCUUUGUCCUCUUGUCUGAAUAAUCCAGAUAAGGUACUUCUACAUUAACUCUUACAGGCUCCAGAACGUACACACACAGGGUAAUUCAGAGUGAAAUGCAGUCAAAUACAUCAUUAACUAGGACUGAAGUGAAACAGUGCUCCCUUGAGCAGUUGGUAAGAAUCCUUGCAUUUUGAUUAUCCCAGUAAGAGGACAAGAGAGAAGAUUACUCCAAAAAAAAGUCUGAAAAUCAUAUUUCUGUAAAGUAGGACAUAGUACAGUUCUAAACAAAUAUUUCGAAGCCCAUUUUCUUCAAUAGACAAAGAAGGAUGCAGCUUCAGUUCAGAUGGCACUGAUAGUAAUGUAGUUGCUGUAUAGCGUAGUGUCCAGUGAGAUUUUGUUACACUGGUUCCAUCUGUUUCUCAUGCAGUGAUCCUUGUAGUCUGGGUGUAAGUUGUGGUCUGAGGCUUUAGAACCCUUCUGUCUUAUCCUACAUCCAAACUUGGAAAUUGUCACAGGUAUACACACGGAGUGAGAGAUCUAAGGAUGAUGUGACAACACGAAAAAGAUCCUGCAAAAAAAAAAAAUCCUUUAAAAUUUGGUGUUUCUUAAGUGCAGUGUAAGUGGGGCAGUAGUAGUAGUAGUAGUAGUAACUGUAUAUACCACCCAU